CCCUUAGAUGUUCUGGGCUGCACGCGCGCUACACUGAAGCGUUCAACGAGUAUUCACCUUGCCCGGGAGGGUUGGGUAAUCUUUUGAAAACGCUUCGUGAUAGGGAUAGAUUAUUGAAAUUAUUAAUCUUGAACGAGGAAUUCCUAGUAAACGCAGAUCAUCAAUCUGCAUUGAUUACGUCCCUGCCCUUUGUACACACCGCCCGUCGCACCUACCGAUUGGAUGGUCCGGUGAAGCCUCGGGAUUGUGGUUCUUGCCGCUUUAUUGUGGCGUGACCGCGAGAACUUGUCUAAACCUUAUCAUCUAGAGGAAGGUGAAGUCGUAACA
rnacentral:rRNA from 1 species